GGGUGCAAUCAUUCCAGUGUUAAUGCACCAGAUCACAUCAGAACUCUACAGUUAAGUGCCCUUGGGCUAGAGUAAUAUUGGGAUGGGUGACCUCCCGGGAAAUCCUAGCGUUGCACCCU
rnacentral:rRNA from 1 species